UACGUAGGGUGCAAGCGUUAAUCGGAAUUACUGGGCGUAAAGCGUGCGCAGGCGGCUUUGCAAGUCAGAUGUGAAAUCCCCGGGCUUAACCUGGGAACUGCAUUUGUGACUGCAUGGCUGGAGUGUGGCAGAGGGGGAUGGAAUUCCGCGUGUAGCAGUGAAAUGCGUAGAUAUGCGGAGGAACACCGAUGGCGAAGGCAAUCCCCUGGGCCUGCACUGACGCUCAGGCACGAAAGCGUGGGGAGCAAACAGG
rnacentral:rRNA from 1 species